rnacentral:lncRNA from 1 species
GCAGAAUAGCAAAACACAUACGAGAAGAUAAUUAGGCAGACUAGGGUUUCACAGAGAAAGAUGAAAAUACCCUUUAGAAAUUAGUGUUCUACUACAAGUCGGAACACAAGAGAUUAGCAUAGAUGAAAACGAACAAGAAAAGAACAUAAAGAAAGCACAGAACAAACUGAAUGAAAGCCCUAGAAAGGUAAAUAGUGAGGAAAAAUAUUUAGGGCUAAAGUAGAAAACACUCAGAAUCGUGAAGAAGGGCACAUAGUAGCAAGAAAUAAAACAACAAAAUCAAGAAAUCAAACAGUUCAUAGAAACCCUAGGUUUUGAAAAGAUGAACAGUCUUUGAAAAA